GCCGGAGUGGCGGAAUGGCAGACGCAGCGGACUUAAACUCCGCGGCCCGCAAGGGCGUCCGAGUUCGAAUCUCGGCUCCGGCACCA
rnacentral:tRNA from 2 species